GUUGUCAUUCAGUUAGAACGCAAUUCGGCAGUUUAGUGUAAAGUGACAGGAAGCAUUGUGGGAACACAGAGGGAAGCUAGGGAUCAUGGGAAAAUUGCUCUGACCAGCGGAAAUGAAGCACACUUUGCUCCUCCGCUGGUCAGAGCUGGUCAAGCGGAGGAAUCCUCCAUAAGGCAAAGAGUUCCUACUUUGUCUUAUGAUUUUAAAGAAAACUAAAGAAGACAGGAAGAAAAGAAUAACAGAUCCUGAGAGAGGGGGAGAAGAGGAAGAGAUUGAGGAAAGGUAAGUUCGGCAUGACAGUGCCGCUUUAAUGC